AUUGAACGCUGGCGGCAGGCUUAACACAUGCAAGUCGAGCGGAGAUGAGGUGCUUGCACCUUAUCUUAGCGGCGGACGGGUGAGUAAUGCUUAGGAAUCUGCCUAUUAGUGGGGGACAACAUUCCGAAAGGAAUGCUAAUACCGCAUACGUCCUACGGGAGAAAGCAGGGGAUCUUCGGACCUUGCGCUAAUAGAUGAGCCUAAGUCGGAUUAGCUAGUGGGUGGGGUAAAGGCCUACCAAGGCGACGAUCUGUAGCGGGUCUGAGAGGAUGAUCCGCCACACUGGGACUGAGCCACGGCCCAGACUCCUACGGGAGGCAGCAGUGGGGAAUAUUGGACAAUGGGGGGAACCCUGAUCCAGCCAUGCCGCGUGUGUGAAGAAGGCCUUAUGGUUGUAAAGCACUUUAAGCGAGGAGGAGGCUACUGAGACUAAUACUCUUGGAUAGUGGACGUUACUCGCAGAAUAAGCACCGGCUAACUCUGUGCCAGCCGCCGCCGUAACAC
rnacentral:rRNA from 1 species